rnacentral:rRNA from 1 species
CGCGUCGCAUUAGCUAGUUGGUGAGGUAACGGCUCACCAAGGCAACGAUGCGUAGCCGACCUGAGAGGGUGAUCGGCCACACUGGGACUGAGACACGGCCCAGACUCCUACGGGAGGCAGCAGUAGGGAAUCUUCCGCAAUGGACGAAAGUCUGACGGAGCAACGCCGCGUGAGUGAUGAAGGCUUUCGGGUCGUAAAACUCUGUUGUUAGGGAAGAACAAGUGCUAGUUGAAUAAGCUGGCACCUUGACGGUACCUUGACGGUACUAACAGAAAGGCAGGCUACUACGUGCCAGCAGCGCGGUAUAGGUAGUGCAAGCGUUUCCGGAAUUAUGGGCGUAAGGCGCGCGCAGUGGUUUUUUAGUUUGAUGUGAAAGCCCAUCGCCUCAACGGUGAGGGUCAUUGGAAACUGGAGACUUGAGUGCAGAAGAGGAAAGUGCAAUUCCAUGUGUAGCGGUGAAUGCGUAAAGAUAGGGAGGAACACCAGUGGGGAGGGCGACUUUUUGGUCUGUAACUGACACUGAGGCGCGAAAGCGUGGGGAGCAAACAGGAUUAGUUACCCUGGUAGUCCACCCGGUAACCGAUGAGUGCUAAGUGUAAGAGGGUUUCCGCCCUUUAGUGUUGAAGUUAACGCAUUAGCCAUUCCGCGUGGGGAGUACGGCCGCAAGGCUGAAAUUCAAAGGAAUUGAGGGGGGCCCGCACAAGCGGUGGAGCUUGUGGUUUAUUUGGAAGCAACGGGAAGACCCUUACCAGGUCUUGACUUCUUCUGACAACCCAAGAGAUAGGGUUUUUCCUUCGGGAGCAGAUUGACAGGUGGUGCAUGGUGGUCGUCAGCUCGUGUCUUGAGAUGUUGGGUUAAGUCCCGCAACGAGCGCAACCCUUGUUUUUAGUUGCCAUCAUUAAGUUGGCCACUUUAAGGUGACGGCCGGUGACAAACCGGAGGAAGGUGGGGAGGACGUCAAAUCAUCAUGCCCCUUAUGCCCUGGGCUACACACUUGUUCCAAUGGACGGUACAAAGAGCUGCAAGACCGCGAGGUGGAGUUAAUUUCAUAAAACCGUUUUCAGUUCGGAUUGUAGGUUGCAAUUGGCCUACAGGAAGCGGGAAUCGUUGGUAAUCGGGGAUCACCAGGCCGCGGUGAAUACGUUCCCGGCCCUUGUACACAC